GUAGGGCGGGACACGUGGUAUCCUGUCUGAAUAUGGGGGGACCAUCCUCCAAGGCUAAAUACUCCUGACUGACCGAUAGUGAACCAGUACCGUGAGGGAAAGGCGAAAAGAACCCCGGCGAGGGGAGUGAAAAAGAACCUGAAACCGUGUACGUACAAGCAGUGGGAGCACGCUUAGGCGUGUGACUGCGUACCUUUUGUAUAAUGGGUCAGCGACUUAUAUUCUGUAGCAAGGUUAACCGAAUAGGGGAGCCGAAGGGAAACCGAGUCUUAACUGGGCGUUAAGUUGCAGGGUAUAGACCCGAAACCCGGUGAUCUAGCCAUGGGCAGGUUGAAGGUUGGGUAACACUAACUGGAGGACCGAACCGACUAAUGUUGAAAAAUUAGCGGAUGACUUGUGGCUGGGGGUGAAAGGCCAAUCAAACCGGGAGAUAGCUGGUUCUCCCCGAAAGCUAUUUAGGUAGCGCCUCGUGAAUUCAUCUCCGGGGGUAGAGCACUGUUUCGGCAAGGGGGUCAUCCCGACUUACCAACCCGAUGCAAACUGCGAAUACCGGAGAAUGUUAUCACGGGAGACACACGGCGGGUGCUAACGUCCGUCGUGAAGAGGGAAACAACCCAGACCGCCAGCUAAGGUCCCAAAGUCAUGGUUAAGUGGGAAACGAUGUGGGAAGGCCCAGACAGCCAGGAUGUUGGCUUAGAAGCAGCCAUCAUUUAAAGAAAGCGUAAUAGCUCACUGGUCGAGUCGGCCUGCGCGGAAGAUGUAACGGGGCUAAACCAUG
rnacentral:rRNA from 1 species